rnacentral:rRNA from 1 species
CAGCCGCCACGGUAAAACGGAGGGUGCAAGCGUUAAUCGGAAUUACUGGGCGUAAAGCGCACGCAGGCGGUCUGACAAGUCAGAUGUGAAAUCCCCGGGCUUAACCUGGGAACUGCAUUUGAAACUGUCAGGCUGGAGUCUUGUAGAGGGGGGUGGAAUUCCAGGUGUAGCGGUGAAAUGCGUAGAGAUCUGGAGGAAUACCGGUGGCGAAGGCGGCCCCCUGGACAAAGACUGACGCUCAGGUGCGAAAGCGUGGGGAGCAAACAGGAUUAGAUACCCCGGUAGUCCCUGUCUCUUAUAC